UUCUGAGUGAAGUGCAGCCAAAGCUGCAGCUGCAGCUCCCUUCCUGUCCGCGUUGCUCAGCGGGCCGGUGGGAGCCGAGGGCGCAGGCUGCCGGGGCUGCCAGGCAGGACGGCUCCUGCUCCCUUGUUGCUGCUGGCCUGGGGCCAGGGUAAGACCAAGUGAGGGAGAUGCUUGAGUGGUGUGGCUAGAAAAACGCUGCUUUUAGUUGGGACCCUUAAAAACCAUCAUUAUCAGAGUGUUUGCUCCAAUUGCACACUCUGGAGCAUCAUGUUAAAUUUGUACCUACCUGUGUGAACUACUGCCCAGUGUGGGCUGGCAUACCAGGCAUAGAAAACACCUGUCUGGCUUCUGAUGCUUCCAGUGAAACGCUAAUACUUCUGUCACUGCUGGUGUGCCUCCUCCGGUGGAAGUGGCAGGGAUGGGUUUUUGGAGCAGAGUACUUUGAGUUGAAUUCAGCCUGGAUGGGCUGGGGUCUGUUGUGGUGUGAAGUCCUCCUUUGUAUGAAGGCUAGGAAAAAGCAGGGAGGAAAAGACAAAAGCCAAGUGGUCCAGACUGAGCUUGAAGCCACUGUUCCCUUACAGGUACUUCUGAAAAAUUGAUGCAGAGCAACUCUGUCAGGAUAAAAACGACCCUUCUGGGACAGGUAGACGCCCUAUAGGUAUCUAUGGCUAGCAGCAAAUUCUUACAGAAGGUAUACAUCCUUCUGAUUGUCAGAGGCUUUAACCUCAGCAUCCAGACCAUCGUGGUCCAGCAAGCAAUGGCCCUACCCUUUAUCAACAUAUUUCAUCUCCUGAAAUCAACAUAAACUUUUUGCAAACCACAGCAUUUUGUGGCAAUGAGUACCAGGACUAACUCCAUUCCCCUAGUCAAGUAGUUGCACAUCUAGUCAUUCAUUGCAAGGAAAAUUAUUUUCUUUGGCUUUUUUAGACUUGCAGCCAGAAAUUGUUACUAGGCACUCUGCGUUUUUGCUGGCGAGAUUAUUAUUAUUUUUGUUAAUUGGUGUUGUUAACUCGGCUUCUGUAUUGGAGGCAGACUUCCACCCAGCUCUGCUGAUGAGAAAUCUCAAUACACUUGAGAUAAAAUUAGCUGGGAGAUUGUAACCUUUCGUUAGCAAUGUGGGUAGUAAUAUCCUCAGAUGGUAAAACCAGAUUUGGAAGAGAACAUCUGCCCAAGCCUCAUCGUGUGAAAACCAUUUUAAAAUGAAGUAAGUUUUGAAUGACUGUCACUGAACUGAGGCAGGGGAGCCUGAGGGAGUAUCUCUGUGUUAGCAAAGACUAAUUUGUUGCAUCUUGGUUUGGGUUUGGUUGGGUUCUGUCAUCUUUAGAUGUGCUUUUGCUUUCUGUGAGUAUGCUUCAGUCUCUCUGGGUACACAGUUGAUGUCCCCUUGUGGGCAUCUUUAGAUUCAAAAGUCACGCAAGUAUUAAAUCCUGAUAAUAAGUGGGUGAAAUCACAAGUCAGUUCAUUUCCCUGCCUCCUUUUCUUUGUAAUCAGAAGAUGAAGUCAUUCCAGAAAAUGCAGAGGAGGCUCUGCUAUCCAUGGCAUACCAUGCCUACAGUAAGCACACGUUUUAAAUCACAGUUCUAGAGCUUAUUUAUACAGCCAAAUGUCAUGUGUUUAAAAAUAAUGAGUUUAUUCAGAAAGAAACAUUUCCCCCAAAGUGAUUAAUUAAUGGAAGGAGACUCAUUCUCAGUGUAACAGCCAGCGAAAAUUAUUCCAGGCGUUCUCUUGAAGUCGAUUACCUGUUGGAAAAUCUGUUCAUGCCACCAAGCCGAUCCAAGUUCAACAGCUAGAAAUAAUGAAGCAAUGAUAUAUAGCACAAAACGGUAUUUAUGCAGUUGAAGGACCAGAAAGGUUCCAGCGGAGUUACUCUCAUCUCUGAAGUAAAUUAAAUGCACUUUGUAACACUUUCUAAUUACAUAUUUACUCAAGGAACUGUUCUGAUCUUCAGGCCUUGUACCUGGUGAGAAAGAAAAGACCCAAGAGAUGGCAAAGAGCUCCCUCCAUUUCAUCUGCCCAUUUUUUUUGGUAUUGUUUGAAAGAAAACUUCUCAGGCAGAUGUUAUUUGUUUGCAGCCAUGCCAUUCUUAAAAUACACCAACAAAUAUACAAUGAAGACCAGCAGUGGAAAACAGACUAGAGCAUGCACUUGAACAUACAAAGUAUUAUUUUUAACUGCUUUUCCAAAAGGACUGUGAUUUUAAUAAUAAUCUGCUUUGUUGAAGCAUCUCUCAGAUGAGGACUUCAAAUUGUGGUAGACAAAUUGUCUCAACAUGUCUGUGGAAUAGGUAAGUACUAUUAAUCCCAUUUUACAGAGGGAGAAAUCUGAACAUCAGAGAGCUGAGAGCACUGUUUUCCAGCUUUGGUGUUACAAAAUGACUGUCAGAGUUAACAGUAUUGUAUUAAAUUUCUCCCCUUAAGUCCAAUUUAGUCUUCUGCCUUUCCAGCAGAAGGUUUGUUAUAACUUCAGCUUUUCCAGUCACAGGCUGUAAAGUGGGCAAAGGCAGGGAUGGGUGGGAGAGAUGGCCAGUCAUUCCUGAAAUGAACAAUGUGCCUCGGAAGUUAAUUAUAAGCUCCUCAGUUAAACAUGUCAUAAAAAUGUCAGGCUGGAUGUAGACUGCUUUCUUAAAGUUCUUCAACCUGAAACUGGUUAACCUACCACAGAGCAUGGGCAAAUUCCCCCAAAACUUAUGGCCCUAAUAAUAGUAGCAUUUCUUUCUCUCUCUCUUUUUUAUUUUUUAUUUUUAAAAUCACAUGCAUGCAAGGUAUUGAUUACUGGGAACAUGUAGUCAUCAGCAUUACUUCACCCAGUGUCCCUGACAGAUACUUCAAGUAUAUGAGUGGCUUAAUGAGAAAGUCAAGUUCAUGAUGAAAAGAGAAACUUAAAAACAUGGCAGUCUAUGAAGGGUAAAAGUCUAAAAGAAAUUUCCAGUUCUCAGAAUAAAUGCUGUUCUUGUUGGAAGGGUAUAUACUGAGGUAGGCUUGCUCAGUGGGUUGGAGAUGCACUUUGAUAUUUCAUAAGUACUCUGUUGCUUGAAAAAGAUUUUUAAAAAUGUUGUUCUGGAUACCUUAGGCUCUGAUAGUGCCUAUCAGGCUAAAACCAGCUUGUUCUUUGCCAUACUUAUGCCAGCUUCCCCUGGCUGAACUCAGAGCUGCACUCCAUGCUGCCAGUGGUCCAAGCCUCUGCCAGUGAGAGGAGCACAGAGGCUGCCAGCGCAUCCCCAAAAUGCUGGAGUGGGCAGGGACUUGCACUGUGAGCAUCCUCAGCAAUACUGCUUUAAUGAGGGGCAGAACUGGGGACAAAGAGAAGAGCCCUUUUCUCUCCCCACCUCUGUUGCUCAUUCCUCAUUUAACAUAUGCAUGAAAAUUUGGGAACAGUUCCUCUUUGGAGUCAGGUUUUACUUGCCUGAGAAUUAGUUAAUCCUUGUAUAAAAUCAGCUAUAUUAAUAGUUAUUGUCCUUGCCCACACUUCACUCGUCUGUAGAUGUGAACAGGGAAGCUGAGCAGCAGGACACAGUAGUUUUGAGUGUUCAUUCUCCAAUAUUUGGUGCCUAAAAAUGAAAGUCAACGUGUCACAAUUUAGUGGGAGGUGUUGCCUUGUCUUCAGAUGUUGUCAAAGAAGCUCCUAAGGAGACAAAUGAAAGAAUAAUUUUAUUUUGAAUGUGUAAUCCCUUUUAUGACUAAUUUAAGUCUCUUUAGCACUUUUUUUUUUUUUUUUUUUUUGAGCUAUGUAGUUCAUUCCAAAGUAUGCUAAUGCAAAGGCACCAAAAACAUGAAGGUGAGCCAUUAGCUCAUUAAUACUAGUAGCAGAAAAUAAAAGAAUUAGCAAACUCCAUGAUGGGCAGUCACAUCCAAAACAAAUGCGAUCUCAGUGGAAUUAGAUGUGCUGCUAACAACAAAAACCUGUGAUAAUACAACCUUUUAAAACUAUAUAUUUCAUAAAUGGAAAAAACGAACCAACGAGGCUGCUGGUGCAGCUUUCAAGAAGCUGGACUGCUCAAUGACACGCUAACAUCACACAGAGGUAGCGUGUGCGAACAGGGACUGCAAGCACGGAAGCUUCAACGUCCCUCCAACAAAGCCUGAUAAAUGCCAGCUCUGGCAGUGUGCAUGGCAAGUUACCAGGAGCUCAGUGAACUCCUGUGCUCAGAAAGCCUUGUGCUGGGAAGGAAAAAUGAGCUGGGAAGUAAUAAUGAUAACAGGAUUCAAUGAGGUAGAUGUGAUUCACAUUUCUUCAAUUGAUCUUGGCCCGCAACACUAACACUGCUUGGCAGAGUGUGGUGCAGGAGGAUCUACUCAGACGUUCAUUUUGACACUCAAGCUGAUCUACGGCUAAAACAGGGCAUUUUUUUUCUUGAAAGUCAUAUUUACACUGUACCUAAAUGAGGUGAGUACUUCAAAACACUUGUCUGUGAGAAUUAGUACUUUGGAGAGGGAUUUCCUAGUCAUUUAUAAAACCUCUGAGUACAUUUGUGCCCUUCUGGCUUACUGUCAAGAAACCUGGGUAGUGCUGAGCUCCAUGCAAAUACGUAUUGGUGGCAAGCCCAUAGGAGCCAGAGAAUAGCAAAUAUUGACCCUUUUGUGUCAACAGAAAAGCAAAGUGCAGAACUGGCUGUGAGCAGAUCAAUUUUCAUUUUCAGAAUAAACGUUUGGCAUAUUGUUCUUGUUUUCAGCUCAACUCAAUGUGUUGAUGCUAAGAGGCUGAAAUCCCUGUUCCUGCGGCUUACCUCUGUGUAAGAAAUUGUCAAGUCAUGUUUUCUGGGGUAGGUGGCACACAUUUCUUUUUCUUCUGACCCCCAGUGCCAUCUCUCACACUGUCUUAUGCAACUUAUUUGUGGUAUGCUUCUUUACCCUCCGGGUGCUCUGGAAAAUGCCCUGCAAGGGCAUUUCUUGGGCACUUCUGAUGGUGACCUAGAGCUCCGGUGUGCAGAUUCACUGCGCUUCCCCUGCACCCUUUGGACAAGAAAGGUAUGCAAGUUACUGUGAGUCACCGUUACUUCAGUUAGGUUAAGGUAAAAUGCAAUCCAAAUUAUUUAUUUACAAUGUACUCAGUAGGCAAAACAGUCAGAGGUAUUUACGUGAGAAUGGAAUAGUUCAGAUGGAAGGGACCCACAAAGAUCAUCAAGUCUAACUGCAACUUAUGUGGAAAAAACGUGCACGUGUGCUUGGACCUCAGAGAUCUCAUCUUGGUGUGCCCUCUGUCUGGUGGUCUCCUGACUCUCUGGGGGCUUUGCCACCUCCUCCAUGGUGGCCGUGGACAUGCUGGUGGGGGUUAGACCAUCUCUCUGUGCUGAGACUUACCUUUAUUUUUUGCUGAUGACAGGCUGUCUUUCACUGGAUCAUUUCUUUCACCCUGUGGACCGUGAGGCUGCACAAAUGCUUGAGCUGACACCAGCAAAAGGGCAAGUAAGGGCAGGAUGGGACCGCUGUCCCAUCCUGGCUUAACAUCUCUCUGAAAUCAUGGCCUCACUGUGAGCAUUUCUGCCUGAAGCAUCUCCUCAUUUAGAGCCAAAUAUUUGGUGCCCGUCUGUUUGUAUCAAUGUAGCUACUUGAUGCAAGUGUCUAAAUGAGUUAGGUGUAUGUAAUUGCUGACUGGCUUUUGAUAGAGAGCAGAUGUGACAGUGAUUUGCCACUUUGGGACAGCUUUUUGUCCAGGGACACAGUGAUAGGAAUCUCAGAGGUGUGGGAGCCAGCUGCAGGAUGAGUUUCAAACUAAGCAUGGGGCUUGAACUCUCUGCCUAACCCCGGAGACCUUCCCCUCCAAACAGAUGUGAAGUGCAUUGGCAGCUGCAACACACUGAAAAGCUUGCACAGGGUUAUGCUGCUGUCUACUGAGCAGCUGAAGGGGCAUACACAUCCAAACACAAGCACAAAAUCCUUGCAAGAUAGAAAUUACAUUUCACUGCUCUGCAUGUGAUUUAAUUGCCAGUCACCCAACCAGCACAUCUUUAAAUGCUCACUUUGUUUUCCCACUGGACAAAGACAUUGCACUGGUUAUUCCUAUAUAAUUAAGAAGUCCAGAGCAGGUUAUUUUUCUUGAUCAUCUUUCCAUCAGUUGUUGAAGCCGCAUGGGUUCCUAAACAUUCUUCUUGGGAAAAUCUGGUAAAUCUGUUUGUUUUGCCAUCUAGACAAUACCCACCGACAUCAUAAACAAGCUUUGUACAAUGAAACCUAGGGCACUACGACGUGCAGCAUGACAAGAAAAUGUGUGAUUUGUACCUAAAGGUGAAAAAAAAUAAAUAUUAAGGGUUCCAUGAAGAUUAUGAUUUCCUCAAAUUCCACAUUAAAUGAUUGGCCACAAAAAGGGUUGAUCAAAAACAAAGGUGAAACGUGUUGUAUUCAUAGAGCGUGGCAGGAAAGGUUUGGAAAGAAGUGUUGCUGGAACGGCAGCCCUCGGGAGGCUUGUUCAGGUUCAGAGCAAACCAGCAGAUGCACAAACCCACUGUGUUUCCCCAAAUCGGGCAGGCUAGGCAGCUAAUGGGGUGAUGGCUAUAUACGAGGCAGGGCAAGUCAGAGGUCCAAACUAGCAAUAAACUCUCAAACAACACAACUUACAUGCACAGGGAGACGAAUAUAUCUCCGUGACAUAUGUGUUGUGGGGGCUUUGGAAAAUAAAUACUGAAAUGUCCAGAGCAUGUGAAAUGGAAGAAGGUGUUGCAAGAGAACCAAUUUCACCUAAAAUCGUACCAGGUAACAGCCCAAAAGCCAAACCGGAUCACUGCUGCCUCUGUUUGGGCAGAGCCCUUCUGUUGUGGGUCUUACAGGU